UGAUGCCCAGCACCAGCUUCCUGUCCUGGUUUCUCGGCUGUGGAGCAGGGGCUUUAUGUUCUUAGCACUCUGUGACCCGUGCUCCAGGACGCCCGAGAGCGGGCACCAGAGAGGCAGUCCCCAGAUGGAGUUGUAGGUGGCAAAGCGAGGGCAGAAGCUCU